rnacentral:tRNA from 1 species
AGGGGGCGGAUGUAGCCAAGUGGUUAAGGCAGGGGAUUUGUGAAUCCACCAUGCGCGA